CUUUUAUUCACCAAAGUGGCAUUCAUCUGAUCAAAAUGUAUAGUCAGGACAUUAAUCAUGUGAAAAAUUACUAUUUCAAUUUAAAAAACAUGUUCAGAACUUCUUAAACUACUUCAAAGAGUUCUCAUCAAAAAAUCCUACUCAUGUAGCAAUGACAGCUUUGCAGGUCCUUGGCAUUCUAGCUGUCAGUUUGUCCAGAUACUCAGGUGACAUUUCACCCCACGCUUACAGUCCUUACAGUCUAGCUGAUCCCACAAAAGCUCAAUGGGGUUAAGAUCCAUAACACUUUUUUCUAAUUAUCUGUUGUCCAAUGUCCAAUUCUUUUUGUUUUUCUGUUUCAGUAGUGGUUUUUUCUUUGCAAUUCUUCCCAUAAGACCUGCACCCCUGAGACUUCUCUUUACUGUUGUACAUGAAACUGGUGUUGAGCGGAUAGAAUUCAAUGAAGCUGUCAGCUGAGGACAUGUGAGGUGUCUAUUUCUCAAACUAGAGACUCUGAUGUACUUAUCCUCUUGUUUAGUUGUACAUCCUUCCACAUCUCUUUCUGUCAAUUGUUAGAGCCAGUUGUCCUUUGUCUUUGAAGACUGUAGUGUACACCUUUGUAUGAAAUCUUAAGUUUUUUUUGGCAAUUUCAAGCAUUGUAUAGCCUUCAUUCCUCAAAACAAUGAUUGACUAAUGAGUUUCUAGAGAAAGCUGUUUCUUUUUUGCCAUUUUUGACCUAAUAUUGACCUUAAGACUUGCCAGUCUAUUGCAUACUGUGGCACCUCAAAAACAAAGACAAUGUUAAGCUUCAUUUAAUGAAUGAAAUAGCUUUCAAAUGUGUUUGAUAUCAUGGCAAGUGAUUAGCAAUUUAGCAUGAUUACUUAAGGAUAAGGUGUUGGAGUGAUGGCUGCUGGAAAUGGGGCCUGUCUAGAUUUGAUAAAAAAUUACAUUUUUCAAAUAGUGAUGGUGCUGUUUUUUAUAUCAGUAAUGUCCUGACUAUAUUUUGUGAUCAGCUGAAUGACACUUUGAUGAAUUAAAGUACCAAUUUCCUUCCGAAACAGCAAACUCUGUACAUUAUUCUAAACAUUUGGCCGACUGUGUGUGUUCACGAAGGUAUACAAACUUACAGGCAACCUGAUGUUUGAAACCUUUUCGAAGCGCAAGACCGUCUUGUGGGUGCUUCCUGGAGAAAACUCUCGUCAACAGCGAUUCACGAUCAGCGAAUCACUGAGAAACCUACUCCUAAACAGUGCUUCCAAACACGAGCAGCAAACCCCAGAGAAAACCGCUCAUAAACCGCACUUCCCAAUCGCUAGUGGCACUUCACGGAGAAAACCGCUCGUAAUCCUAUCCGCAAACACGGUGACGAAACAGUUUGCGGAUGUCAGCUGAAGCACUCUUCAAAAACAAACUGCACAAAAUAUCACCACAAUCGAUUAUUUCAAGCGAGAAUGAAGAGAUCGAGCUGACGUGUUCAGGGGUUUUUGUAGCGCAAGCGCAAGCGUUUUCCACUAGUACUUUCAGUACUGCCUCUGGCGGACUGGAAUGAAAGGAAAUAGAAACGGUCACGGAAAGUCGGUUGAGCUGAAAGCUUGAGGGCGAAGUUACUCUGGAAAGUAAGAAAUAUAAAUGUAUUUGUUGAUUAAUUUUAUGUUAUUUUUAUUUAUUUCGACCUAACACCUUGUCAUUUAUGACUCACAUGCUUAUUUCAGCAAGCACAAAGAAUAAAUGUCAACUAAAGAUUUUCGUCCAGGCCUGCGAUAUUCUCCGCCAGGAGGCAAUUAAUUUCAAACUUGAAGCACUAAAAUCUCUGUUGUGGAUUGACUAGUAAUCCUGAUACUAGGUUAUGUUAUAAUUAAAUGUUCUUUGCAUUAAGAAAACAAGGGAAAAAAUGAAACAAGUUUCCAGGAGCACAUCACAGCAUUGAAUUGCCAACUGCACUGAUAUAAAAGAGAUUAAUAAAGCUCUAUUCAAGAGUGUGAAUAUGUCAAAUGUCCAAAGUCAAAGAGAGGAAGUCAUGGAAAUGUUUCAAUUUCUCUACUUGUGAAUAUUUGUUGUUUGUAAUUUUAUUGUCAUGUACAAAAAUAUGAUAAUUAUGUAUUUUUUAAUUGAAUAUGGCAUAUUCAUUUAGCCUGGGUUUUAGCAAAGACCUUCACUUAACUCAGAGUACUUCUGAAGUUCUGGCCACCAACAUCAUCAGAGCCAUGACAAGUGGAAGUCAAAGGGGACAUUUGACUUCAAUACAAUGACAUAAACAAUGCCAUAAAAGUGGCUCUGGAGUGCAGCAUUACUAGUUUGACCAUCUUCAUACAGAUAAAACACAACAUUCCUAUUUAUGGAUCAGCACAUCCAUCCUUAACCUGAUAUUUCAUAUGGUGUUAAGACCCCUCAGUGCAGAGAUUCGUCAUCAAACUGAUGACAUGGAGAUGGCUGAAGUGAAGUGAAGUGAAAACAAAAUGAUUCUGUAUCUGCCCAAAAUUUUUUUAACAGCUUUUCAUUGGUUAUUUUUUUAUUUUUACUUAGUUCUUUACUUGUUUUAUUAAUCUUACUUAUGGUUAUAAAGUUAACUUAUAGUUAAUGUUAAAUUAUUUAAUGUUUAUGAUUUUCAUAUAAAUAAUAUUACUACCAAUUAACUUUUAGCUUAUCAUUACAAACCUGUGGAUUUAUUAAGUCAAUUCUCAUAACUUGUGUUAAUUAUUGCUUGUGUUGUUGUAAAUACAAGCUAUUAAAAUGUUUUACUUAAUAAUACUUGAAUGUCUUUUAUAUGGUUAUUUCACUUUCUUAGUUGUAUAGUAUAUGAACUAUUCAAUAUGCAUAUCCAUUAAAUGUUUUCCUGGUAAUAAAAAUAAAUAAAAAAACUAAACAAAAAACAAAUGUUACAGUUGCAUAUUGGGAACCCCUAAAAGGUUCUAUAUAAAAACUUUCCACCUGGCUCAAAGAACCCUUAAGGGUUCUUUUGAUAGAACCCUUAAAAAGGGUUCUAUAUAUGCUGUGAUCUGAAUCCUAAUGUGAUUGGUUUAGCAUUCCAUGAUGCUGGACAAUGUACUGCAUCACUUCCUAUGAAGUCAUCUGAUCCU